rnacentral:rRNA from 1 species
AACGAACGCUGGCGGCAUGCCUAACACAUGCAAGUCGAACGAGACCUUCGGGUCUAGUGGCGCACGAUUGCGUAACGCGUGGGAACCUUCCCUUAUGUUCGGAAUAACUCCCCGAAAGGGGUGCUAAUACCGGAUAAUGUCUUCUGACCAAAGAUUUAUCGCCUUUGGAUGGGCCCGCGUUGGAUUAGCUAGUUGGUAGGGUAAAAGCCUACCAAGGCGACGAUCCAUAGCUGGUCUGAGAGGAUGAUCAGCCACACUGGGACUGAGACACGGCCCAGAAUCCUACGGGAGGCAGGAGUGGGGAAUAUUGGAACAUGGGCGAAAGCAUGAUCCAGCACUGACGGGUGAGUGAUGAAGUCCUUAGGGUUGUAAAGCUCUUUUACCCGGGAUGAUAAUGACAGUACCGGGAGAAUAAGCUCCGGCUAACUACGUG